rnacentral:rRNA from 1 species
GAGGAAUAUUGGUCAAUGGGCGAGAGCCUGAACCAGCCAAGUCGCGUGAAGGAAGACGGCCUUAUGGGUUGUAAACUUCUUUUGCAGGGGAAUAAAAAGUAGGACGCGUCCUAUAUUGCAUGUACCCUGCGAAUAAGCAUCGGCUAACUCCGUGCCAGCAGCCGCGGUAAUACGGAGGAUGCGAGCGUUAUCCGGAUUUAUUGGGUUUAAAGGGUGCGCAGGCGGGCUUUUAAGUCAGCGGUGAAAUCUGGUCGCUUAACGAUCAAACUGCCGUUGAAACUGGGAGUCUUGAGUAUAGAUGAAGUAGGCGGAAUUCGUUGUGUAGCGGUGACAUGCUUAGAUAUAACGAGGAACUCCGAUUGCGUAGGCAGCUUACUAAACUAUAACUGACGCUCAAGCACGAAAGCGUGGGGAUCAAAC